rnacentral:rRNA from 1 species
GGUGUUCGGGUUGUCAUGCCAAUGGCACUGCCCGGUAGCUAAAUGCGGAAGAGAUAAGUGCUGAAAGCAUCUAAGCACGAAACUUGCCCCGAGAUGAGUUCUCCCUGAGACUUUAAGUCUCCUGAAGGAACGUUGAAGACGACGACGUUGAUAGGCCGGGUGUGUAAGCGCAGCGAUGCGUUGAGCUAACCGGUACUAAUGAACCGUGAGGCUUAACCUUACAACGCCGAAG